rnacentral:piRNA from 1 species
UAGCCUUGCGCUACCCGUCUAAGAGAUAGC